rnacentral:misc_RNA from 1 species
CUGAAUUUAAAAUCCAAGUAAUAAUUCUAGAAUUAUUAACUCUCCAUUUCGCUUUUUCUUUAUCAUCUGUAGGUUCUUCCAACGAACCACCCAAAACAUUCAAAAGUUCCUUCCCUUCAAUAAAAAUACAAAAAUGACCAUAGAGCAUAAUUCACACUAGGUAAGAUGGAUAAAAUGAGUAGCGACAUCAGAAAAGGUAUAAAGCAUUCCACAAUAC